AACGAACGCUGGCGGCGCGCCUAAUACAUGCAAGUCGAGCGAGAAGACGUAGCAAUACGUUUGUAAAGCGGCGAACGGGUGAGGAAUACAUGGGUAACCUACCCUCGAGUGGGGAAUAACUAGCCGAAAGGUUAGCUAAUACCGCGUACGCUCCUUGGACUUCGGUUCAGGGAGGAAAGCGAUACCGUGGGUAUCGCGCUCUUGGAUGGGCUCAUGUCCUAUCAGCUUGUUGGUGAGGAACGGCUCACCAAGGCUUCGACGGGUAGCUGGCCUGAGAGGACGAUCAGCCACACUGGCACUGCGACACGGGCCAGACUCCUACGGGAGGCAGCAGUAAGGAAUAUUGCGCAAUGGGCGAAAGCCUGACGCAGCGACGCCGCGUGGGGGAUGAAGGUCUUCGG
rnacentral:rRNA from 1 species